GUAACUUCUGUAAUACAUGUUAUAAAAUUGGAAAGACACAGAAAAGAUUAGCAUGACAGUUACUCAAUGGUGACAUAUAAAUUUGUGAAGUGUCCCAUAUUUUU